rnacentral:rRNA from 1 species
CCUACGGGUGACAGCAGUGAGGAAUAUUGGUCAAUGGACGCAAGUCUGAACCAGCCAUGCCGCGUGCAGGAUGACGGCUCUAUGAGUUGUAAACUGCUUUUGUACGAGGGUAAACCCCGAUACGUGUAUCGUGUUGAAAGUAUCGUACGAAUAAGGAUCGGCUAACUCCGUGCCAGCAGCCGCGGUAAUACGGAGGAUCCGAGCGUUAUCCGGAUUUAUUGGGUUUAAUGGGUGCGUAGGCGGUUUGAUAAGUUAGAUGUGAAAUGUUGAGGCUCAACCACGAAACUGCCUCUAAUACUGUUGGACUAGAGAAUAGUUGCGGUAGGCGGAAUGUAUGGUGUAGCGGUGAAAUGCUUAGAGAUCAUACAGAACACUGAUUGCGAAGGCAGCUUACCAAACUAUAUCUGACGUUGAGGCACGAAAGCGUGGGUAGCAAACAGGAUUAGAUACCCUUGUAGUC